rnacentral:rRNA from 1 species
CCUACGGGGGGCUGCAGUGGGGAAUAUUGCACAAUGGGCGCAAGCCUGAUGCCGCCAUGCCGCGUGUGUGAAGAAGGCCUUCGGGUUGUAAAGCACUUUCAGCGGGGAGGAAGGCGUUAAGGUUAAUAACCUUGUCGAUUGACGUUACCCGCAGAAGAAGCACCGGCUAACUCCGCGCCAGCAGCCGCGGUAAUACGGAGGGUGCAAGCGUUAAUCGGAAUUACUGGGCGUAAAGCGCACGCAGGCGGUCUGUCAAGUCGGAUGUGAAAUCCCCGGGCUCAACCUGGGAACUGCAUUCGAAACUGGCAGGCUAGAGUCCUGUAGAGGGGGGUAGAAUUCCAGGUGUAGCGGUGAAAUGCGUAGAGAUCUGGAGGAAUACCGGUGGCGAAGGCGGCCCACUGGACAAAGACUGACGCUCAGGUGCGAAAGCGUGGGGAGCAAACAGGAUUAGAUACCCCGGUAGUC